GCACAAUGGGCGCAAGCCUGAUGCAGCAACGCCGUGUGAGUGAAGAAGGUUUUCGGAUCGUAAAACUCUGUCCUAAGGGAAGAAAAAAUGACGGUACCUUAGGAGGAAGCCCCGGCUAACUACGUGCCAGCAGCCGCGGUAAUACGUAGGGGGCAAGCGUUAUCCGGAAUCACUGGGCGUAAAGGGUGCGUAGGCGGCUUGACAAGCCAGGGGGUGAAAGGCAUUGGCUCAACCAAUGUAAGCCUUUGGAACUGUUAAGCUUGAGUGCAGGAGAGGUAAGUGGAAUUCCUAGUGUAGAGGUGAAAUUCGUAGAUAUUAGGAGGAACACCAGUGGCGAAGGCGACUUACUGGACUGUAACUGACGCUGAUGCACGAAAGCGUGGGUAGCGAACAGGAUUAGAUACCCUGUAG
rnacentral:rRNA from 1 species